UUCUACAGGCAUGAAGAGCUGUGCCCACAGUAGAACUGCACUGGUUCUGAGGCACUGGGGAGACAGGUUACUGGGAUCCCAUGCCAGGAAUGUGCAUCCAGCUAUAUGGGGCCUUUUUCCUAGCUACUGCAGAGAGGGAUGGUGGUGGGAUUAGGGUAGGCUGGUAUAUGUGUAUAAUCAUAGAUUUCUCCCCUGUCCCUCAGAGGGGAGUUCAGGGAACAAGCAGAGUGGAGGCUAAUGCAGUCAUGAAGCUGCACUAGUGGCUAAAGAGUGACUUCGCUUCUGCUUUUUAAUCUGGGAGCCCUGUACCUCUGGAGAGGGUGAUGUCAAGAUUCUGCUUUAGCUUCGCUGGCAAAGGCCUGUCUUUGGAGUGCUAAUGGUCCUGAGUUCUAGCCACGGUACUACAGCACUGCUGCCCUCAGCCUAUCCAGGUUAACCCCCACCCUCCAGGUCUUCUCUAGAAGAUAUUGUGCUUCUCUGGAUGAUAGACAACCCUUGAAAUGUACAGCUUCAAUGGCACAUAUCAGAGUACAAAUCCUGUGCUGCAUGUCUCUAGCUGGGCAUCUACCUGCAGCUUAGAAAUGUUACAGAUGUGCAAAAAACAAAAUUGUGAAGAGCCCAGUAAGCCGCCUGGGUUUCCCGGACAGGAACGGGGCCAGUGAAAAGCCAUAUUGAAGAGGAUACCUUAUGGAUAUUUGUUUCACAAACAAUUGCCUAAACUCUGAGAGGUUACGAGCAUCUCUAGAACCUAUUGAAGUUGGAGGUCCUCAAGGCCUUGAGAUUUGGGGCCAUCGCGGACAGAGUCCUGAAUCCACUGAAGUCAACAGGAGUUCUGCUACUGAUAUAAGUGAUUCUGGAUUCUGCACUGUAUUGUAUGCUUCUUCAGUCAUCAGUACUGGAGACCUAAAGAAUUUUUAUUGUCAUUUGAAUAUUGACAUACUAAUGUGCUUUUUUGUGAAUGAUAUAAAUGUAAAUGAUUUAUUUUCAGCACCAUCUGUUACUCGUCAUGAAUCUGAUUUAAUUAGGAGAUUGUGAUCUGUUGGUAUGUUUAUGCUCUGGUUGUUUUAUGAUUCAUGCAAUUACAGAAAUAAGAUUAUUGGUAAUAGGCAGCGUAUUUUAAUUAUACUAUUGGCAUUAGCAGUAUUGAAAAUCUUGUGAGGGUUAUUAUCUUGGACACAGUUGAUUACUAUUGAAUUAAUAGAACGUGGAAGCCAUGAUACAUUACCUGGUUAGGGGUUGUGUUAUAAGUAUUUUAAGAGGCUAAGAAGAAAAUGAGUGCUUUUGAUUAUUUAAGCAUCAAGAUCCCAAUUCAGCAAAUUAUUUAAGCACGUGGUUAACUUUAAACACAUGAUUAUAUCAAUUUGCUUAAAGUUAAGAUUGUGCUUAAGUGCUUUGAAUCAAGGUCUAAACACACUAGGACUGCGUAACUGAUUCUUGCAUUUUCAGUAGUGAGUAUUGUUAAUAGGUAGUACACAUAAAUAAGAUCAUUUGCUCUUCGUAAUUCAUUGCAAAUGCACUCUGAAUUGUGUUGUAUUUUAAAUAAUUGUAUAAUUGAUAAAUGUUACUGUAAGAAAUAGUAGUAAAUUUACAUCAGGUGAAUGAAGUGAUGUCAUGACUACAGAGCUGAUAACCUGUUUAGACAGCAUCACAAUUGCACAUGAUGAUCACUACUGUUUUUAUUAUUUUACAUUUUAGUUCUCUAGUAAACAUUUUGGUGCUGAAUGCAUUUGCUACAUUGCAGACAAUCCACUUUAGGAACAGGAAAUCAACAGAGGAUGUUGGGGGUGGGGAUAUGGGGAGGGAGGUUGGGGUUUUUGUCUUUUUUUUUUUUUUUUUUUUUUUUUUUUUUAAAUCAGUGAAAUUUCAGCUUUUGGACAAAGUACAGUUCCACUUUUCUCUUUUAGAUAGGCUUGGAAGAAUUAGAUUUUUAUUAGUAAAUGUUGGUAGGUAAAUGUCUAUUUUACCAUACCUAAACAAACUUAUGAAAAAUAAUAAUCAACAUUUACAGAUAGGCAAAGUAAGAAAAAUGCUGCUUGAGAACUUAGUUUAAUUUAAGGAUAUUUAAUUUGUAUAUUUUGAUAUAAUGUUGGCAGUUUGUGUUUUAACAGUUAUAAAGCUUUAACUUUUUUGAAUCUCAACAUCUGAUGUCAUUACAUAACUGACUCUCCCUAUUGUCUGACCCCCCAUAAGGUCCCACAACUGUGUAAAUUUAAAGUGAUAAAAAUUGACAAAAUGCUUAGAAUAAACAUUAAUAUUAUUUAUCACCACUAUUUAAAAAAAUCAAAUUCUGCCAAGCCUACUUUUACUGUAAGAUCUCCUAUAGAGAAGAUGGAAGAGCUGUGAAUUUCUCUUGCUGCUGCCUAUGCUGACUGUACUGCUGUGGUCAAAACCAGAAGAUUAACCCAGAAUGCUGUGUGUGGGGGUGGAUGGAUGUCUUAUGCUUUGUUGCUGCCUAUAUUAUGAAUUUAUUAUGUGUUGUGGUGCUUUGAGGGUUUUUGGUCUUGCUUCUUAUUAACUUCCGUAGAAGCAUGUGAUGACAACCUUAUGUCACUAAUCUCUCUGUUCAGUUUUUUAAAUUUAGGAUACGCUCUGAAAAAUCACUCCUUGUUUGAAAAUUUUAUUAUCCCAAAAUCAUUGGUGUUGUUAUAGUUGUAAAUAAAAUCAGCAGUGAAGAAAUAAAAUAAUUCAAGCAGCAGACUGUGCUGUUAGGUAGUUCACUGUAUAAUAUUCUGUAUGUGUUUUUUUGGACUUUAUUG